ACAAGCAGUAUUUUCCAUGCUGGAAAAACUGAGUCUAGACUUCUGCCCCUUAGGAAGUUGUUCCUAGGCAACUGCUUCUGAAUGCUGCUAUGUUCUCUUAGCAGAUGUCUGCUCUGCUCUGCCAAAAGGAGAAAAUGUUCAUCCAGAUGUAGUGGCUGAGCAUGCAAGGGAAAGGAAGAAGAAAGAGAGCAAUACAAAUACUGAAGUUCUUGUACAGCAAUUCAACUCUUCAGAGAUUAAGCAGUACUGGAGGGCUUCCCCCCUGACAGGUGACAGCACAGUAUUAAAGGCAGAAAUCAAAGCACAGGACCCAUGGGAAGCGACGUUUCAAAUGUACACCAUUGCUUUUCUUCGUCAUUGUUCUGAACUGUGCACCCUCUGCUCCUGACAGUGCACCCACAACAAGAUAAGGAGUUUGAGUACGUAAGCGUCUUCUGUGGGAAGAGGAGCAACAGCUGCCCACCAAAUUGGAAGAAGAUAUAAUGAAUGCAUCUUCUCUGAAUCACAAGAAAAAGACGAUUUCAACUUAAGAGAACAUUUUAAUCUCAGUCAAAAUGGGGCAUCUUCACCAUAAGGUUGUCUGCAGUCAUGGUAUGGCUUUCCUGACUUUGCUAAUUCCUUUGGGCUUUAAUUAGAAACACUUCAGCAACACUUCCUAAAGCAUGCAAAUGUUGGGGCUCCCACUAACAGUAUUAUUAAGAUAGAGUCUUAAUUCAUUUUUCUAUGGUGGCAGUAUGUUUCUUCUUCAGUUUAUUGUGGC
ensembl:lncRNA